UUAAGCGACUAAGCGUACACGGUGGAUGCCCUGGCAGUCAGAGGCGAUGAAGGACGUGCUAAUCUGCGAUAAGCGUCGGUAAGGUGAUAUGAACCGUUAUAACCGGCGAUUUCCGAAUGGGGAAACCCAGUGUGUUUCGACACACUAUCAUUAACUGAAUCCAUAGGUUAAUGAGGCGAACCGGGGGAACUGAAACAUCUAAGUACCCCGAGGAAAAGAAAUCAACCGAGAUUCCCCCAGUAGCGGCGAGCGAACGGGGAGGAGCCCAGAGCCUGAAUCAGUGUGUGUGUUAGUGGAAGCGUCUGGAAAGGCGUGCGAUACAGGGUGACAGCCCCGUACACAAAAAUGCACAUACUGUGAGCUCGAUGAGUAGGGCGGGACACGUGGUAUCCUGUCUGAAUAUGGGGGGACCAUCCUCCAAGGCUAAAUACUCCUGACUGACCGAUAGUGAACCAGUACCGUGAGGGAAAGGCGAAAAGAACCCCGGCGAGGGGAGUGAAAAAGAACCUGAAACCGUGUACGUACAAGCAGUGGGAGCACGCUUCGGCGUGUGACUGCGUACCUUUUGUAUAAUGGGUCAGCGACUUAUAUUCUGUAGCAAGGUUAACCGAAUAGGGGAGCCGAAGGGAAACCGAGUCUUAACUGGGCGUUAAGUUGCAGGGUAUAGACCCGAAACCCGGUGAUCUAGCCAUGGGCAGGUUGAAGGUUGGGUAACACUAACUGGAGGACCGAACCGACUAAUGUUGAAAAAUUAGCGGAUGACUUGUGGCUGGGGGUGAAAGGCCAAUCAAACCGGGAGAUAGCUGGUUCUCCCCGAAAGCUAUUUAGGUAGCGCCUCGUGAAUUCAUCUCCGGGGGUAGAGCACUGUUUCGGCAAGGGGGUCAUCCCGACUUACCAACCCGAUGCAAACUGCGAAUACCGGAGAAUGUUAUCACGGGAGACACACGGCGGGUGCUAACGUCCGUCGUGAAGAGGGAAACAACCCAGACCGCCAGCUAAGGUCCCAAAGUCAUGGUUAAGUGGGAAACGAUGUGGGAAGGCCCAGACAGCCAGGAUGUUGGCUUAGAAGCAGCCAUCAUUUAAAGAAAGCGUAAUAGCUCACUGGUCGAGUCGGCCUGCGCGGAAGAUGUAACGGGGCUAAACCAUGCACCGAAGCUGCGGCAGCGACACUAUGUGUUGUUGGGUAGGGGAGCGUUCUGUAAGCCUGUGAAGGUGUACUGUGAGGUAUGCUGGAGGUAUCAGAAGUGCGAAUGCUGACAUAAGUAACGAUAAAGCGGGUGAAAAGCCCGCUCGCCGGAAGACCAAGGGUUCCUGUCCAACGUUAAUCGGGGCAGGGUGAGUCGACCCCUAAGGCGAGGCCGAAAGGCGUAGUCGAUGGGAAACAGGUUAAUAUUCCUGUACUUGGUGUUACUGCGAAGGGGGGACGGAGAAGGCUAUGUUGGCCGGGCGACGGUUGUCCCGGUUUAAGCGUGUAGGCUGGUUUUCCAGGCAAAUCCGGAAAAUCAAGGCUGAGGCGUGAUGACGAGGCACUACGGUGCUGAAGCAACAAAUGCCCUGCUUCCAGGAAAAGCCUCUAAGCAUCAGGUAACAUCAAAUCGUACCCCAAACCGACACAGGUGGUCAGGUAGAGAAUACCAAGGCGCUUGAGAGAACUCGGGUGAAGGAACUAGGCAAAAUGGUGCCGUAACUUCGGGAGAAGGCACGCUGAUAUGUAGGUGAAGUCCCUCGCGGAUGGAGCUGAAAUCAGUCGAAGAUACCAGCUGGCUGCAACUGUUUAUUAAAAACACAGCACUGUGCAAACACGAAAGUGGACGUAUACGGUGUGACGCCUGCCCGGUGCCGGAAGGUUAAUUGAUGGGGUCAGCGCAAGCGAAGCUCUUGAUCGAAGCCCCGGUAAACGGCGGCCGUAACUAUAACGGUCCUAAGGUAGCGAAAUUCCUUGUCGGGUAAGUUCCGACCUGCACGAAUGGCGUAAUGAUGGCGGGCUGUCCACCGAGACUCAGUGAAAUUGAACUCGCUGUGAAGAUGCAGUGUACCCGCGGCAAGACGGAAAGACCCCGUGAACCUUUACUAUAGCUUGACACUGAACAUUGAGCCUUGAUGUGUAGGAUAGGUGGGAGGCUUUGAAGUGUGGACGCCAGUCUGCAUGGAGCCGACCUUGAAAUACCACCCUUUAAUGUUUGAUGUUCUAACGUGGACCCGUGAUCCGGGUUGCGGACAGUGUCUGGUGGGUAGUUUGACUGGGGCGGUCUCCUCCUAAAGAGUAACGGAGGAGCACGAAGGUUGGCUAAUCCUGGUCGGACAUCAGGAGGUUAGUGCAAUGGCAUAAGCCAGCUUGACUGCGAGCGUGACGGCGCGAGCAGGUGCGAAAGCAGGUCAUAGUGAUCCGGUGGUUCUGAAUGGAAGGGCCAUCGCUCAACGGAUAAAAGGUACUCCGGGGAUAACAGGCUGAUACCGCCCAAGAGUUCAUAUCGACGGCGGUGUUUGGCACCUCGAUGUCGGCUCAUCACAUCCUGGGGCUGAAGUAGGUCCCAAGGGUAUGGCUGUUCGCCAUUUAAAGUGGUACGCGAGCUGGGUUUAGAACGUCGUGAGACAGUUCGGUCCCUAUCUGCCGUGGGCGCUGGAGAAUUGAGGGGCUGCUCCUAGUACGAGAGGACCGGAGUGGACGCAUCACUGGUGUUCGGGUUGUCAUGCCAAUGGCACUGCCCGGUAGCUAAAUGCGGAAGAGAUAAGUGCUGAAAGCAUCUAAGCACGAAACUUGCCCCGAGAUGAGUUCUCCCUGACCCUUUAAGGGUCCUGAAGGAACGUUGAAGACGACGACGUUGAUAGGCCGGGUGUGUAAGCGCAGCGAUGCGUUGAGCUAACCGGUACUAAUGAACCGUGAGGCUUAACCU
rnacentral:rRNA from 1 species